UACAGAGGGUGCGAGCGUUGUCCGGAAUCACUGGGCGUAAAGGGCGCGUAGGCGGCCUGCUAAGUAGAGGGUGAAAUCCUGCGGCUCAACCGCAGGGCUGCCUUCUAAACUGUCAGGCUGGAGCGCGGUAGAGGCAGAUGGAAUUCCCGGUGUAGCGGUGGAAUGCGUAGAGAUCGGGAAGAACACCAGUGGCGAAGGCGGUUCUCUGGGCCUGUGCUGACGCUGAGGAGCGAAAGCGUGGGGAGCGAACAGG
rnacentral:rRNA from 1 species